rnacentral:rRNA from 1 species
UACGUAGGUGACCAGCGUUGUCCGGAUUUACUGGGCGUAAAGAGCGCGUAGGCGGUCGUUCAAGUCUGCUGUGAAAGCCCCCGGCUCAACUGGGGAGGGUCAUUCGAUACUGUCCGACUGGAGGGCAGGAGAGGGAAGCGGAAUUCCCGGUGUAGUGGUGAAAUGCGUAGAUAUCAGGAGGAACACCAGUGGCGAAGGCGGCUUCCUGGCCUGUUCUUGACGCUGAGGCGCGAAAGCUAGGGGAGCAAACGGG